CCUCGGCCCGGCGCCUCUUUCUCAUAAUUGUGCGACUCGGCCGGCAGAGAGCCGCGGCGCUGCCGCGUCAGCGCGACCCGCCCCCGGGAGGAGGGGGACGCCGGGGCGGUGCUCACCGCCCCUCAGCCGCAUGUGGCGCUGGGGCCCCCGCCGGGCGCGGUCGGGGAUGGGGGCGCGGGGGCCGGCCUCCACCUUCCCACACGGAGUGGGAGUCCCUGAAUGAGCGCAAGUGGGUGCCAGGCGGCCGUGUCCCCUUUGUGCUGUUCGUGAGGUAAAGGCCAAAGAGACGUUGAACACGAGGCUUCCCGGGACAGAAACCCGCCUGCCUGGAAACGCGUGGUUCGAAGGGGCGUCAUCAUUUGUUGGUACUGUUGUGACAGGAUGGUGAACCAUGACAGUAAUACCUCUUCAGCCUCUGAAGCUUGUGACCCUGACAAAAGCAUCACUUGGUCCUGCAGAGGCUUGCUGUUCCAUUUCUUAGGAAAAAAGGAAUUUUCAGAAACUUCUUCAUAACUAUUUAACUUUGGCAGAUACUGGGCCUGACAAAGAGCAGAACAACACAUCAGAAGACAAGUUUUCAGUCUGCUAUUGGAACACUGAGGGAGGAUCAUCUAACAGCUGGCAUAGAGAGGGUAGUUUUGGUAAGCAUUUUUGCAAAAUGUUUUCCUGUUAAACUGACAAGAUGCUUCCAGAAGAAGAGUUAACACUAUUUGCAACAAUUCAGCAUAUCCCAAAGUCAAAGAUUCUUCUCUUCAUCCUACAACAAGGUUCUCGGGACAACCUCAUCCUCAAAGCCCCAGCAGAAGCUGCAGGAAUCUUUACGACAAGCAGCAAGAUGAACGCACCAUGCUAAAAUCAUGGUGCAAAGUUAUUUCAGGCCUCAAAAGAGCCAGAGCAAUCAGACCGUACAUUGUGGAGGGCUGAUGAACAUUUAGAAGCUUUUCUUCCACACCUGAGUUCCUGACAGUUUUUAAGGGGAAGAGGGAUGCACAGUGUCAAAAUGGGUUAAAAGUAAAUGGUUUUUAGUUACAAAGCUAUCUCCUAACAUGGUGAACUACCAAAAACCAAAAAAAAACCCCACAACCAAACCCCCCAAACCGCACACACAGAGCGAAACUAGAAAUGGCAAAACAUACUCCUUCCUGUAAAAGAGUACACAGCACCUAUGCAUAUACUUGCCUACAAGAUUCACUCUGAUGUUGUUGCAUUCACAUAAUUCUUAACAACCUAUAGCUAUGAUUAAUGCAAGUAUCUAAAAAUGUGAUCUAAAAUGACAGUACUGACAGCAGGUGCAUGCUGUGUAACACGCCAAUGACAAAUCUGUUGAUUUAUUACUUCAAAGAGAGAUAAGAAAGCUUGCUGAACACUUCAAACUGACAGACUCUAAAAAGUUGCUGGACUAUUCUACCUACAAGACUUCAAAGUUGCAUUAGUCCACUACAUUUUUCAUGGUGUUACUAAAAUGAUUUCAUAGACUUUACUGAUACAAAAACCAAAUAGUAUUUCUAAAUUAAAUAAAUAACUGGGAAGUAAGUAUCAAAUUAGUUUAUCAUGCAGGCAUAAAUGAGAAGUAUAAGCAAUCCAGAAAACCUAGAAAAAAAACUUUAUUAAACGCUUCUUGGCAGCAACAUCUCCUACAUUUGGUGGUAGGAAAGUUGGUAGAUUACUCUCCCCAGAAAUCCCUGUGCUUCAGUAAAUAAUUAAAAUGUUUUUCUGUGCAACAACUCAUUACAGCUCAAGACUACUCCAUAAUAAAGCCACAUAUGGCCUAACUAGAAUUCAAGACUGCAUCAUUAUGCAGAAACAGAAAUGCUCCCAGCUAAGAAUUAUGGGACCUCAGAGCUAUCUUAGGGAGUCAAGGAUUUCCCACAUGUAUAAAGUAGAAACUUAAAAACUGGUUUUAACAAUCGUAUCCAAGAACUUGAGUGCACACAGCAGGACAGGAGAAUCUUAUGUUAUAAAAAUACAGUCUGGCCAUCUGAGUUUAAUUUGCAUUCAACCGCUCCCACUUCCUAAUCUCUUCUUGGGUUUGUAUCUAAUUUACUUAUUAUUAAGGCUUUUUAAUGAGACUUAAAUUGUUAAAGUACUCUUUAUUAGAAGAAAGAGGGUAAUGAGAAAAGUACUUUUCAGUUCAGAAUUUAAGACACGCAGAGUUCACCAUCUCAAACUGUUUUCAGUGUAAUGGACAGACAAGCUAUGCUUUAUAAGCAGAUGGAUAACUGGACUGCCGACUAUAAUUCAAGAUUAGAUUUAAACACUGAAAUUCUGCAAGAAUAUGACAUUUGAAAGCUUGCAUUGCUCUCUCCAUGCUGUGCUUGAGACAGUAGACAGCUGAAUACCAUCAGUGUUAGCAGUCAUGAUCUAUAGCCUAAGAUUAAACCCCUCACUGCAGUCUAGAAGCUGUGCAGCGGAAGGACCACAAAAGCUGGCCCGAAUCCUUGCUCCCCAUCCCACUUCAAGCACUACAGACAGCACAGGAUAAGUGUACUGUUGAGUAGUAAGAUGACAGAGGGACUGUAGACAUGGUACUAAAGACAAAUCAUAAUGCUGAACAUUGUAAUAGAGGACAACAAAAUUGUGACGAGCACUAAGCAGUUUUUCAUGUCAAUGCAGUGGCACAGAAAAAUUAGGUGAAGGACUUCCAUAUAGGCAGAGAAACUAAAACUAAUUCUAAGUAUUUGAAGACACUGCUAGGGAUUUGGGAAAUUACAGUGUAGAGAGGCAUACAAAGCCUGCCUUCAGGCUUAGGAAUCAUGGUUCCAUUGCUACUUAACUUUUCCCGUAUGCCUUUCAAGAAAGAAAGAAAAUCCAACCCCAACACCUACGCGCGAAAUGAGAUUUAUAGCUUGUCUUCAUUGCUACCCUCUUCUAUUUAAUUACUCAGAAAAAAAUUAAAAAGAUAGACUCAUAAAGGAAAAGAUGAAGCAGAGGGGAAAAAAGAAACCAUAAGAUGAUUAAUAAAGUUGCAUUAAAAGAAGGCCAUAAUCACACCUUGUAGCAAAGGCGUCCUGGAGGAGUCCGAUACCUAAAUAAAAUUCAUUCCAUUAUUAAAAUCAUACACAACAAAAAUCAGAAAAACCCAAAACUCAAAAAAGCUAACUAAUGGUCUAUAAGUAAACAGCAGCAUUCAUGAAGUUUAGUCACCUGAUAGACCAUACAUGCUCUUGUUCCCCUAUUCUUAUGACGCUUUGCUCUAGCAAGUCUGCAACGUUUCUCUGUUUCCAUGAGGACAAAACAAACCUCUACAGAAGUCUGGCCACCCUUGUCAAUGGGGCAGCUCUGCUCCAGUCCAAAUGAUCCUUGCUGUAGUAAAAGAUAGCCUUUUGUCAGCUUUCUAUAUCUUUGCUCCUCAGAAGGAGCAAUUAAAGCUGGAGAUUUCAACCCUGGGGUUGUAUGCAUGGUUGGUUUGGGGAGGUUUUUUGCAUGUUUGUUUUUAAGUUCAGUAAGAACAGUUCAAAAUACAGCUUCAGGAGAAAGAUCAGCACUGCAGCAUUCUGAGAGUGCAACUUGAAUAACACCCUCUGGAAAAAAAUAAUAUAGAAAAUGUUCUUCAGAAAGUUACAGAAAAAUAGGAGUCAGUAAAGUUACACAGAGGUGUUCAACCACAAACAAGUCUAACUUGGGGGUUGUGGAGUGGGGGUUCUCUCUGGCACAUUUUAAGUUGUGCCAGAAAUGAAGCCGUCUGACUGCAAAACAAGCUGAAGUUGAUUAGUUUUAAUCCUUCAAGAAACCAGUUGAGAGGACAUGAAAUAACUACUAUGGCAACAUAAUUCUUCCAAGUAUGAGUUUUGCUAUGAGAAGUGCAAGAAAUUUUUCUCACUAAAGAGUAUUGCCAAAUCUACUCAGGCCACUCUUACUCAGAACUCAACUGAGAAAAAUAAAUUGCAAAGUUCCACCCCCCAACAGACACGGAGUUACUGGGUGUCGUAUCUGUGACACUCUGUUUUAAAACAGCAGUCACCAAUUUCUGUACAAACGCAUGGUAAGCCAAAUUCAUUCUGACCUACAAAGAAACAUUUCCAUUUGCUGAACCUAUGAAAGGAGGAGAGUUGGUUCUGUAGACAAAAAGACAGGAUAUCUAGUUAAAGCUGAAGGUCUCCUGAGUAAUUGCAUACCUAGCCAACCUCCAGCUGAAGCAGGUGUAGAGUAUUAGUCAGAUCAACAAAAGGUAGUUUUGAUAACACUGAAUACUGAUAGUACUAUAGAAGCUGCAUGCCUGCAGUUCUACAUUUACAAGAAUUACCACCACCUUGACUUAAACCUUGCAAUGCAGAAUUUGAAAAGGCAGGAGCUGCUUCCUUCCACCAUCAACUUCACAUCACCCGCUUCUGGCAACAGACUACCCAUUCUCUGAGCUGAGUUCCACAUAGCCUAAAUACAGGUGAUAGUUUCUGAAUUGAAACAAUAUUGGACUUCAGGUCUCAAAGCAAGAUCUAGAGUAACCUCAAGACUGGCCUGUCUUAUGAUAAAUGCCAGCUCACAGGAGCUACUGGCACACUCUGUUACGACAGCAAGUCAAAUCAGGGGGAAUGUGCACAUGUCAAGAGGCAGAGGCAGAUAGCUGGUGGGAUUCAAGGACUGCAAUUCCUGGGUAAUGUUAGAAAUAACCAAAGGGGAAAUGCAGAAUACCCAUGGCAGCGUGCACACUGCUGUGAUAGAAAACAGUUCUAUAACCACCCAGCUAUUUUGUUGCUGAAUGAUUCAUAUAAUCCUGAUUAUGCAGGAAAGUUUCUAAAAUUGUAGCUGAUCAACUUACCUGAACUGUCUCUUAAUAGAGGACUAGUGCAAACUGUAAUCUGCAUGCUUAGUUCAGUGACUCAUGUUAUACCACAUCAAGAUGACAGUUGAGGAAUCUUAAAACAUGAAAAAAAACAUUCCAAAGAAAAUAGGACAAAUUACUUUUUCUAUGAGUACUGAACCAGCUAUUUCAUCUCCCUUAAGCUUUGUUCUGCCUUGCUCACUACUAGACUAAGAUUUUCUAAGCAUAAAGACUAUUUUUCCUUAUUAGUUCCAGAAGAUAACAUGAAGACUAGCAAAAAAUGGAUUACAGGCGAUACAUUACCAAGUACUUCUAGAAGCAGACACUCAAAGGAAUUAACUACAACAUAUUCAGCCUACCUGGUAACUGCUUCCUUUCCAGAACUUCUUCAUCUCUUUGCGCCUCCAAGCAACAAGUGAGCUAGUGAUGAGUGUACAUGGGACAAGAUAGAGAAGGGCAGGUUGUCCCAUCUUCAUUAAUGCCAAAACAACGAAGGUCAGCACCAUACCAAUGGCAUAAGCUAUAAAAAGAUAUUUAUAUGCACACAAUCAAGAACAGGUGAUUUUUUAAAUUCAGUCAUUUAUUUAGUAAGCCAGAAUUAUUAUUUAAGUAAUAUCUUCCCUUAUUAAUAUAAGUGAAGAAAAGAUGGACAGUAGGUUACUCUGUAUUUGCAAGCUUUCUCUAAGCAACUGACUACCAUAAAGAAUGCUCACCUUAAAUAUGGGCAGGCACAUUAAAAAGAGAUCAUAAAAAGAUUCUUGGCAACAUUGAACCUUUACCCGAAGAAAACUACCUGGUUAUGCCAUUUAAAAAAGCUAGUAUGAAGAGUUAACAUUGCUGAAAUAUCACAAUUUACCUAUUGUACAAGAAAUGUAGUAUACAGAAGAUGAACUUGUCUGAACAUCAAAUCUGCGACAGUAGGCAACUAGAAGCCCUUAAAAGGAAAAACAAAACAAAACAAAAAGAUUAAUGAAAUAUUUAGCCAUGAUUUUUUUUUCUCCCCAGUCCUCCAGAUCAAAGCAGCAAAGAAAGAAUUUAUGUUAAGACAUCCCAUUACUGUAUGUUAUCUUCUUCGCAUUUAUUUCUGGAAAGCCAAGAACCAGUUUAAGAACUUCUACAGUAAGUCUUGAAAAUCAAAACCAUCAUAAACCAAGUAAGCUUGGUAUUAAAAGGUUUUGGGGUUUUUUUAACAAGCUAAAUACAUUGUGCUAUUUUCAAUUUUUUAAUACAGAAGGGUAACAGCUUAGUUCUAAUACUUUUCUUCAACAGGAUUUUAAUGCUCGCUUUUAACAAUCGCAAUUUUGCCUGCACACUGUUCAUACGAUGGUGCUUUGUGCCUGACUUCAUUUGCUCAAGACUUCAACUAUGGCAAAAUUCAGCUCUUCUAAGAAAGAUGGAAAAAUUUGAUAAUAUAUUUUCCGUUACCUCACCUCCAAUUAGAUAGUCUGGGAUACAAAAAUAGUAUGAAGUCACAGAAGAGUUGCUUUCUGCGAGAUUUCAAUGAGAUUUAAUUAAUAUUAACAACUGGAUUUAUCUGUGGGACUUGUAUUUACACAAUACAGUGCAAUAGAAAAGCAAACCCCUUCACUAUGUAAGUGUUCUAUAACAUACUAAGCUGUCUGAUAUUGUGGCUUUUGUUGUAUUCUGCGUAACAGAUAAAGCCAAACUGCCGCAUCUGAUUUAGUUGUUGAAUAAACUGAAAUGUAAGUCA